CGCGUAGGCGGCUCGUUAAGUGGCUGGUGAAAUCCCGGGGCUCAACUCCGGGGCUGCCGGUCAUACUGGCGAGCUGGAGCACGGUAGAGGCGGAUGGAAUUCCCGGUGUAGCGGUGGAAUGCGUAGAUAUCGGGAAGAAUACCGGUGGCGAAGGCGUUCCGCUGGGCCGUUGCUGACGCUGAGGCGCGACAGCGUGGGGAGCAAACA
rnacentral:rRNA from 1 species